rnacentral:rRNA from 1 species
AACGCGAAGAACCUUACCUGGGCUCGAAAUGCAGUCGUAAGCCUCAGAGAUGAGGUCCUCCCGCAAGGGACGGCUGUAUAGGUGCUGCAUGGCUGUCGUCAGCUCGUGUCGUGAGAUGUUGGGUUAAGUCCCGCAACGAGCGCAACCCUCAUUCUUAGUUGCUCGCCCGCAAGGGAAGCACCCUAAGAAAACUGCCUCGGAUAACGGGGAGGAAGGUGGGGAUGACGUCAAGUCCUCAUGGCCUUUAUGUCCAGGGCUACACACGUGCUACAAUGGCCGGUACAAACCGUCGCCAACUCGCGAGAGGGAGCCAAUCGGUAAAAACCGGUCUCAGUUCGGAUUGCAGUCUGCAACUCGGCUGCAUGAAGCUGGAAUCGCUAGUAAUCGCGGAUCAGAACGCCGCGGUGAAUACGUUCCCGGGCCUUGUACACACCGAUAGC